UACGAAGGGGGCUAGCGUUGCUCGGAAUCACUGGGCGUAAAGCGCACGUAGGCGGAUUGUUAAGUCAGGGGUGAAAUCCUGGAGCUCAACUCCAGAACUGCCUUUGAUACUGGCGAUCUUGAGUCCGGGAGAGGUGAGUGGAACUCCGAGUGUAGAGGUGAAAUUCGUAGAUAUUCGGAAGAACACCAGUGGCGAAGGCGGCUCACUGGCCCGGUACUGACGCUGAGAUGCGAAAGCGUGGGGAGCAAACAGG
rnacentral:rRNA from 1 species